rnacentral:misc_RNA from 1 species
UCCGCCUCGUCGGCGGCAGUCCCCUUAGAGUGCCCGGCUUACACCGCUGGCAACUAAGGGCAGGGGUUGCGCUCGUUGCGGGACUUAACCCAACACCUCACGGCACGAGCUGACGACGGCCGUGCACCACCUGUGCCAGCUCCCACCUCAUAGAGAUGGGUCCCUCCCCUUUCGGGUCGGUACCACUGGCAUGUCAAGCCCUGGUAAGGUUCUUGGCUCAGCAUCCAAUUAAACCACGCGCUCCACCGCUUGUGCGGGCCCCCGUCAAUUCCUUUGAGUUUCACCCUUGCGGGCAUACUCCCCAGGCGGCUCACUUAGCGCGUUAGCUUCAGCACGGAGGAUUUAUCUCCCCCACACCUAGUGAGCAUCGUUUACGGCUGGGACUAC